GCCGGUCCAGCAGGUGGCGGAAAUUUCGUCGACAGCAAUUGCCACAGAGAGAAAAAGGAAGAACAAAGCGGAAGCAGUCCUUUCAUCCGAAGCAGAGAACGGUGGUUUUGUCAAAGAUGCAACAGUGUGGAAAACUGUGGCUUGAAAAGCCUUGGUGUAAUAUUAGUGGAAGCAAGAGGGGUCUAAAGAUGAUGCUGGUAAUAUAUUAAAAGCUUUUACAUGUGGGGAGUUUGACCUCGGGGUCUUGGCACUGAAAUGUAGACCUAAGACUGGUUUGACCUUCAACCUGUGACAAAGACCUUUAAAGAGAGGUGGGUGUUUACUCUGGUGGCGAAGAUCAUGAAGUUGUGGUAAGAAAGUAAAAUUAUCAAUGUGAUUAUUUAAUUAAGUGUACUGAGAAUAAGUGACUGUAAUGUAAAUGUACUGUGAGAAAAAAAAUAAAAUUCAAAUAAUCAA